CCCGACUCCAGCAAGGAAGCGCUUGAGAAUAUAAUAUACAGUGAAGCAUGUCGAACGUCAGCAAGCCUGAACAAAGUGUCAGGAAAAAGAGUCACGCUGCGAAGAAACACCACACAGAAGCUUUUCCCUCAGUACAAUGACAACUGAGGGUCUUCAGAGCAGCGUGAACGGCCGUCACCUGAGAGCAAGACAGUCCUCGGGCCUUCCCUCCAGACUGGCCACCUGUCCAGGUUGUACCCCCGCCUCUGGCCCCAUAACAUGGCUCCAACCUUGAAUUGGUUAAGCAGAAGGGAUGGAUGGAUGGAUGGAUGAUCCAAAGAGAAACAUUGAAGGCACUCUCACAAAAAAAAGAUAAGAACUCAUUUUACACAUUGUUGAAACAUCCUGAAAGUUACUUGUUCUGUUUAGAAACUUGUUGAACUGUCAUUAGAGUUUGUUUCGACUUGUUUUUCAUUUCUUAUUCGGUUCAGCUGUGUUUCUAUGUGUCCUUAGUUCCCAUAAUCAGCCUCCUGUGUGUAAAUAUUGUGUCAGUCUCCCUUUGUCCCUUGUCAGAGUGUUAGUCUCCAUCCCCUCGUGUUUCCUUGCCUCAGUAGCUCUGUUUCCUAUAGUUUUCCACCAGUAUAGGUUUUGG